rnacentral:tRNA from 1 species
GGUGGCAGAUUAUAAGCGAAAAAUUGUAAAUUUUUUUAAGACCUAGGUCCCU